rnacentral:rRNA from 1 species
AUGGGCGCAGUGUGUGGCGGUGAGGCCGACGGUGAUGGCCAGCAGCGAAAGAGCAGUGCACGCGUUGAGGCGAUGGUGUUGGCGGCCGGUGGGCAGGGAGCAGCACUAGGGUUUGAGAAGCUAUUAUUGAUCGCGUACUGGCCCAAGGCAAAUUCAGCCCAUCUCGGUCGUGUACUGUGCUUCAGUCCCCGCUGGCCCAAUGCAAAUUGA